GAUGAAGAACGUAGCGAAAUGGGAUAAGUAGUGUGAAUUGCAGAAUUCAGUGAAUCAUCGAAUCUUUGAACGCACAUUGCGCCCUAUGGUAUUCCGUAGGGCAUGCCUGUUCGAGCGUCAUUCAAACCUUCAAGCUCUGCUUGGUGUUGGGCGUCUGUCCUGCCUCACGGCGCGGACUCGCCUCAAAUCUAUUGGCGGCCGGCACGUUGGCUUCGAGCGCAGCAGAAACGCGAACUCGAGACCGGCGGAUCGGCUCCCAGAAGCUACCCCCAUGAAUUUGACCUCGGAUCAGGUAGGGAUACCCGCUGAACUUAAGCAUAUCAAUAAGCGGAGGA
rnacentral:misc_RNA from 1 species